UCUCCUCUUCCUGAGGUUUACAGCUGCUGCAUAUUUUUAUUUGAGAUAAGUAAUAGGAAGGUGGAAAGUCAGAGGCUUGGCUCCUGGUGACUCAGCCUAACGUCUUGGGGCUUCUCCUUGGGUAGUUUUGAAAACGUAAGCAAUUCAUUUAACUUUCUGAGCUCCAGCUCCUCAUCCUUAAAAUGGGUAUAACCACACCCACCUCACACUGCUGACUGACGAAAGAUACAUCCCCAGUAAUCUCUAGGGCCAAAGUCAAGUCUGCCUCCGUUCACUUCCCCCAGACUGGAUAUUCAAGGCGCAGUGCCAUGCGGACCAGUCUCCCUAGCUUGACCUCUGUUUUGCAUCCAGCUUAAGAGGAGAGGACAUUCUACCAUGCCCUUGGGCAGUGACUUUUACUAUCCCAACUCUGCAUUAAUUGCAGACAAACUCCUUCAUUUUCCAGUGAGCAAUAUCUAAUCCUACAGAGAGGAAAUAAGAACAUGGUCUGUAUCGAGGGGUCCUCUUGAACUACUGUCAGGAAUAUCUCCUGCCAGUUCCUUUCCCCCUUAUCGUCAUGUCGAUAUACGGAGUGUGGAAGCGCUCUUUUGUGGCUGUUGAAGCAGAGCCCUUAAAGAAUCUUACUAGAGGAAAAGCAAAGUGAAAUCCUAAACAGAAGAGAAUCUUUGACAUCAAGUCUACAAGACUGCUGAGACUGUCUUCCCCACAAGAACGCAAGUUCCAUGAGGGCAAGAAAAGGGUCUGUCCUGUUUCUGGCUGAAAUAACCCCAACAUCUAUCAAAGCAGGUGACACAUUGCAGGAGCUGAGUUACCGUGGGUUUCCGAUCCAGCUGCAUCCCCUCAAGAGAUGGCUCUUUGACUCCAACUCUCACUGUAACAGAAAAUUUUCCGCAAAAAAAUAAAAGGGAGCUCUG